rnacentral:rRNA from 1 species
CAGUCGCCACGGGAAUACGGAGGGUGCAAGCGUUAUUCGGAAUUACUGGGCGUAAAGCGCACGCAGGCGGUUGCCCAAGUCAGAUGUGAAAGCCCCGGGCUUAACCUGGGAACUGCAUUUGAAACUGGGCGACUAGAGUAUGAAAGAGGAAAGCGGAAUUUCCAGUGUAGCAGUGAAAUGCGUAGAUAUUGGAAGGAACACCGAUGGCGAAGGCAGCUUUCUGGGUCGAUACUGACGCUCAUGUGCGAAAGCGUGGGGAGCAAACAGGAUUAGAUACCCGCGUAGUCCCUGUCUCUUAUAC